CCUACGGGGGGCAGCAGUGAGGAAUAUUGGUCAAUGGACGAGAGUCUGAACCAGCCAAGUAGCGUGAAGGAUGACUGCCCUAUGGGUUGUAAACUUCUUUUAUAUGGGAAUAAAAUGUUCCACGUGUGGGAUUUUGUAUGUACCAUAUGAAUAAGGAUCGGCUAACUCCGUGCCAGCAGCCGCGGUAAUACGGAGGAUCCGAGCGUUAUCCGGAUUUAUUGGGUUUAAAGGGAGCGUAGGUGGGUUGUUAAGUCAGUUGUGAAAGUUUGCGGCUCAACCGUAAAAUUGCAGUUGAAACUGGCAGUCUUGAGGACAGUAGAGGUGGGCGGAAUUCGUGGUGUAGCGGUGAAAUGCUUAGAUAUCACGAAGAACUCCGAUUGCGAAGGCAGUUCACUGGACUGCAACUGACACUGAGGCUCGAAAGUGUGGGUAUCAAACAGGAUUAGAUACCCUAGUAGUC
rnacentral:rRNA from 1 species